GAUGAAGAACGCAGCGAAAUGCGACAAGUAAUGUGAAUUGCAGAAUUCAGUGAAUCAUCGAAUCUUUGAACGCACCUUGCACCCUUUGGCAUUCUGAAGGGUAUGCUCGUUUGAGUGUCAUUGUACUCUCACACUCCCGAUCUUUGCAUUGGGAGCAGUGGACUUGGGUUUGCUGCUUCACCGUCGCUUACCUCAAAUAGGUUAGUGCAACUCUUGGUUGGACAUAGUACGGCGUGAUAAGUGUUCUUCGCCGGUGCCUCGCAAAGAGGGUGGCCGAUCGGGAUGUUGUGCUCCAAACCGUCUUCGGACAAUCUCUGACGACUUGACCUCAAAUCGAGUAAGACUACCCGCUGAACUUAAGCAUAUCAAUAAGCGGAGGA
rnacentral:misc_RNA from 1 species